GACGAACGCUGGCGGCGUGCUUAACACAUGCAAGUCGAACGGAAAGGCCCUGCUUUUGUGGGGUGCUCGAGUGGCGAACGGGUGAGUAACACGUGAGUAACCUGCCCUUGACUUUGGGAUAACUUCAGGAAACUGGGGCUAAUACCGGAUAGGAGCUCCUGCUGCAUGGUGGGGGUUGGAAAGUUUCGGCGCUUGGGGAUGGACUCGCGGCUUAUCAGCUUGUUGGUGGGGUAGUGGCUUACCAAGGCUUUGACGGGUAGCCGGCCUGAGAGGGUGACCGGCCACAUUGGGACUGAGAUACGGCCCAGACUCCUACGGGAGGCAGCAGUGGGGAAUAUUGCACAAUGGGCGGAAGCCUGAUGCAGCAACGCCGCGUGCGGGAUGACGGCCUUCGGGUUGUAAACCGCUUUCGCCUGUGACGAAGCGUGAGUGACGGUAAUGGGUAAAGAAGCACCGGCUAACUACGUG
rnacentral:rRNA from 1 species